rnacentral:rRNA from 1 species
CUUGCUUCUCUUGAGAGCGGCGGACGGGUGAGUAAUGCCUAGGAAUCUGCCUGGUAGUGGGGGAUAACGUCCGGAAACGGACGCUAAUACCGCAUACGUCCUACGGGAGAAAGCAGGGGACCUUCGGGCCUUGCGCUAUCAGAUGAGCCUAGGUCGGAUUAGCUAGUUGGUGGGGUAAUGGCUCACCAAGGCGACGAUCCGUAACUGGUCUGAGAGGAUGAUCAGUCACACUGGAACUGAGACACGGUCCAGACUCCUACGGGAGGCAGCAGUGGGGAAUAUUGGACAAUGGGCGAAAGCCUGAUCCAGCCAUGCCGCGUGUGUGAAGAAGGUCUUCGGAUUGUAAAGCACUUUAAGUUGGGAGGAAGGGCAGUAAAUUAAUACUUUGCUGCUUUGACGUUACCGACAGAACGAGCACCGGCUAACUCUGUGCCAGCAGCCGCGGUAAUACAGAGGGUGCAAGCGUUAAUCGGAAUUACUGGGCGUAAAGCGCGCGUAGGUGGUUCGUUAAGUUGGAUGUGAAAUCCCCGGGCUCAACCUGGGAACUGCAUUCAAAACUGACGA